AACGGGAGAGGAUGCGUGACCGACCUGNCCCAUGCACCGGAAUAGCUCCUGGAAACGGGUGGUAAUGCCGGAUGUUCCACAUGAGCGCAUGCGAGUGUGGGAAAGGCUUUUGCGGCAUGGGAUGGGGUCGCGUCCUAUCAGCUUGUUGGUGGGGUAACGGCCUACCAAGGCGUUGACGGGUAGCCGGCCUGAGAGGGCGACCGGCCACAUUGGGACUGAGAUACGGCCCAGACUCCUACGGGAGGCAGCAGUGGGGAAUAUUGCACAAUGGGCGCAAGCCUGAUGCAGCGACGCCGCGUGCGGGAUGGAGGCCUUCGGGUUGUAAACCGCUUUUGUUCAAGGGCAAGGCACGGUUUCGGCCGUGUUGAGUGGAUUGUUCGAAUAAGCACCGGCUAACUACGUGCCAGCAGCCGCGGUAAUACGUAGGGUGCAAGCGUUAUCCGGAUUUAUUGGGCGUAAAGGGCUCGUAGGCGGUUCGUCGCGUCCGGUGUGAAAGUCCAUCGCUUAACGGUGGAUCCGCGCCGGGUACGGGCGGGCUUGAGUGCGGUAGGGGAGACUGGAAUUCCCGGUGUAACGGUGGAAUGUGUAGAUAUCGGGAAGAACACCAAUGGCGAAGGCAGGUCUCUGGGCCGUUACUGACGCUGAGGAGCGAAAGCGUGGGAAGCGAACAGGAUUAGAUACCCUGGUAGUCCACGCCGUAAACGGUGGAUGCUGGAUGUGGGGCCCUUUUUCCGGGUCCUGUGUCGGAGCUAACGCGUUAAGCAUCCCGCCUGGGGAGUACGGCCGCAAGGNUAAAACUCAAAGAAAUUGACGGGGGCCCGCACAAGCGGCGGAGCAUGCGGAUUAAUUCGAUGCAACGCGAAGAACCUUACCUGGGCUUGACAUGUGCCUGACGAUCCCGGAGACGGGGUUUCCCUUCGGGGCGGGUUCACAGGUGGUGCAUGGUCGUCAGCUCGUGUCGUGAGAUGUUGGGUUAAGUCCCGCAACGAGCGCAACCCUCGCCGCGUGUUGCCAGCGGGUCAUGCCGGGAACUCACGUGGGACCGCCGGGGUUAACUCGGAGGAAGGUGGGGAUGACGUCAGAUCAUCAUGCCCCUUACGUCCAGGGCUUCACGCAUGCUACAAUGGCCGGUACAACGGGGUGCGACACGGUGACGUGGGGCGGAUCCCUGAAAACCGGUCUCAGUUCGGAUCGCAGUCUGCAACUCGANUGCUAANGNGCGGAGUCNCUAGUAAUCGCNNAUCA
rnacentral:rRNA from 3 species